CUUAUUAAAGGCUGGACCUCUGCUGGCUUCCUACCAACAGUCCUACUGUGUUCAUGUCAUGUUGGGUUUUCUGUAAACACGAGCUGCGUGCCAGGCAAAGAAAUGAAUUUGAGCUGCCAUCAUCUUUCUCAGGGGAUAGCAUGAUGUCAUUUUGGAUCCCAAAAUGUCUCGGCACAAACCCCCACCUGGGUCAGUUUCCGUCUGCAGAGGAAGAGAGCUGACUGACUGUGAUCUCAAUUUGGAGGAGUGUCAAGUCAAAUCCAAAAUCCUGCGAGGACAUGAAGAGGUCCCAUUAGGAUACUUUCAGACGAGGAUAUGUGAAUGUGAGAUACCACCUGCAACAGGCACCUGCCGCACUCUUGCGACUGUAUGGGGUCGUUUCCAUGGUGACCGUGACUGCUGUAAUGGCCAUCAGCGCUGAUUGGCUGGGAACCUCCGAAGUGGAAAAGGACUAGACGAGGUUGUCUGGGAUCAAAAGAGAACUUGCUACUGAAAGAGGUUUUUUAAGAACUGUAAAAUUAGUGGUAUUCUGAGGGACCGUUGAAUGUUGUGCGGAGAAAGUCUUGACAUCCAGCAUAUCUACGCCAAGUGCUGAAGGCAGGAAAUGCAGACAAUGGACUAGUUCUCAGAGGGUACUCGCUAUCUUCUAAGAGACGCAGGCUUCACAUCUUAACCUAUCACAAAGCCAGGGGUAUUUCUGAUGAAUUUUUGAGAAAAUGGAUUCUUGAAAGGCCUGUGGAUAUCCUCACAAAGUCUUUCCCUUUUCUUAAGAAACACCCCGGGGCUCUUACUACCAAAAGUCCCCUCCCUCCACUGUGAAAACAUUCCUCAAUGUCCGGGACAACGGCAUCAGUUCUCAUCACUGACUGAUUAUAUGAAUAUCCUGUAUAGCCCAGGUAAGAUCAGUACAGUUCCAGUGUCCAGCUUGCCCUUUACUAUAUCAAAGGUGAGUUUAAUCCAUCAGCAUACUUGGUCCGUGGUCCAAGGCCUAAAAAUCCAAUUCAAAGUCCACUCCUGUUACAUAUACCACCUUCUUCAAAGCUCACAGUCACAAAAACCUUGUAUUCAUCAUCUUAAAACAGUGGAUCUUAGAUUCCUGUGGUGAUUUGAUAUCCAUGCUACAAUAAGAGUGUGUAGUCUACAUCCAAAUCAAGUUCACUUUCUCUCUGACCUGUUGGCUGUCAGGCACGAGUUUCUGAAUAAUAGUUGUGAUUGUGGUCUCCAUGUUGUGGCAAACACACCUGCAUGAAACGCUGUGGUAUUCAUAUGAUAAUGAUGUCCAACAACACAUGUAGUGUCAAAAUACACUGACACAUACACAAAUAUGACAGCAAAAAGGCCUCUCCUUUUUUUAAGUCCAGUAAAUUUAAGUUCAGGGAUUCUUUUUUCUUUGUACUUUCGAUUGUGGUUCUGUUGUACCUCUACUCGAUUCUCUUCUGUGUUUCUGCCAACUUUUACAUCAAAAAACUCGCAGAAGGGGGAUUCAAAGCCCUUUGGACAAGGCGGUCCAGCUAUGCGUG